UACGUAGGGGGCAAGCGUUGUCCGGAAUCAUUGGGCGUAAAGCGCGUGUAGGCGGUUCGGUAAGUCUGCUGUGAAAGUCCAGGGCUCAACCCUGGGAUGCCGGUGGAUACUGUCGGGCUAGAGUGCGGAAGAGGCGAGUGGAAUUCCUGGUGUAGCGGUGAAAUGCGCAGAUAUCAGGAGGAACACCGAUUGCGAAGGCAGCUCGCUGGGACGUAACUGACGCUGAGACGCGAAAGCGUGGGGAGCAAACAGG
rnacentral:rRNA from 1 species